rnacentral:rRNA from 1 species
CCUACGGGGGGCAGCAGUGGGGAAUUUUGCGCAAUGCUCGUAAGAGUGAUGCAGCGACGCCGCGUGAAUGACGAAGGCCUUCGGGUUGUAAAGCUCUUUCGACAGGGAAGAAAAUGCCUAUAAGUAACUGUGUAUGUAUUGACGGUACCUGUAUAAGCAGCCCCGGCUAACCCGGUGCCAGCAGCCGCGGUAAGACGGAGGGGGCGAGCGUUGUUCGGAGUGAUUGGGGGUAAAGAGCACGUAGGCGGUGUUGUAAGUCAUUAGUCAAAGACUAGAGCUUAACUUUAGUAAGGCUAGUGAUACUAUGAUACUAGAGUAUAGGAGAGGAUUGCAGAAUUCCUGGUGUAGCGGUGAAAUGCGGAGAUAUCAGGAGGAAUACCAGUGGCGAAGGCGGCAAUCUGGCUGGAAACUGACGCUGAGGUGCGAAAGCGUGGGUAGCAAACAGGAUUAGAUACCCGAGUAGUC